GUCUACGGCCAUGCCACCCUGAACAAGCCCGAUCUCGUCUGAUCUCAGAAGCUAAACAGGGUUGGGCCUGGUUAGUACUUGGAUGGGAGACCACCUAGGAAGACCAGGUGCUGUAGGCA
rnacentral:rRNA from 1 species